GCCCCCGCUCGGGUCCGCGUAGGGGCCAGCACCUUGCCCGGGACCUCGGUGCCGGGACACUGCGCAGCUGGCGACCGUCGCCACUGUCGUGCAGCCGGGGCCUCUAGCAAAGUUGCAGGGCCCUCGCGGUGCCUGCGGACCGGCUCCUCCGCGACGGACCUGAACUUGACCCGACUUCGCGGCCGCAGGUGAUGCAAACGGCACCUCGCUCAAGGAAACCAUGGGCGUGUCUCCUGCCGCCGGGCGCAGUAGGCCCGGGGUCACCGUUUCCCUGGCGGAGCUCAAGGAGCAAAUGUCCCGGGCGAUGGCUGUGUGGUGCGAAUUUGAAACGUAGUUGCAAGUAACGCUCCCAACACCGGAGGCUUGAAAUCCCAGAGCAGGGAAGCCUUUGAUACGCCCAGAGCCCGAGGUCGGCCCCACGCCCUGUUGUGACACAAGCAGGAGCACUGCGCCUGCAACACGCUCCUGCUCAGGCGUGCUGCACCCAGAGGGAACCAAGUCAGGCACCCAGGACGCAGGACCCAGGACGGAGAGCGUAUUCCUGUCUUGACCUGCUGCACGCUUCUUGUUCGUGUAGAGGAGGUGAGGCAGGGAUGACCACUGAGCGGCGAAACGUUUACCUUCCUGCAGUUGUAGAAAUCCCGGUGGGGGUUGUUCUUCAGCUCCUUUAACUCAUCCAUCUCGUUGAGCAUCUCAUGGACCUGGAACUUGGAGGAGAGGAACUUCAGGCGCCGAGCACAUACACUUUCUGCUCAAGGAGUUAAGAAGGGAUUAUAUGGAUGAAUGACCCCUUCUUUCCACUGCUACAGUUUCAACCUAAGAAAGCCAAGAACGAACUCCACACUGUCCCUGGGCAAUCAAAGCAUUUCGCCUUGAAAACAAGGGGCCCAGUGGGCUGGGAUGGAACCUGCAACCCAGCAAAGCGUAGGUAGCAAAUAAUGAAAAUGGCAACCAGCUAUUUGGAGCGACAGUAGGAGACGAACAUUCUUCACACGAUGACAAAGCAAAGUGCAUGCAAAGAGGAAGGUCCCCCACUCCUCCCCCAUCAUCGUCUCUACAGGUCUCCAAAAUGCCCCAUUUCAAUUCUAUCUUAAGUAAGUGUAACGUGUUCAAGUCUCUGUUCUGCACAUACCAACUCCUUCACCUUCCCCUGUUCCCGUUUCCUUCUCUGUACCGUGGGGAUACUAAUGCCUUACCAAACCUCGCUCACCAGGCUGUCGUGACACAAGGUGAGAUAAUGUACGUGGAAAUGCUUUAAGGGAAAUAAAACACCAGAAUAGCUGAAUGGUGUCAUUUGUAGCCUUGGUCAGACAGAUAUUUGGCAUUCUGGGUUAGCUUUGGGCUAUUAAGGGAAUGAUGAAUGACAUGACUUAGUACAGGCUGAAGCACACAUUAGAAAUGACAGUCAUUGAUUCAUAACUUCAACACGAACAGUCAGCCGCUGUUCAAACCCGGCCUGUUGCAGCUGGGUCACAGAGAAGCCCACUCUGUUGGCUGAACUUCACGCAUCCAUUUGCUCCAUUAGACUCCAGCACUUUCUGAAACUGAAAAGCAUCUUAAAGUGCUCGGAGUAGUUCUUUGGCAAGCACCACAAUCCACGAAGGGACCAAUAAAACAUUAAAUAGGUACAUUGGAUGGUUUGAGAAUGCCUCCCCCACCCCCGCCACUGCCCACUGAUCCCUAGAAGGUGUAUCAUUUCUCCCUGAGUGUCACCAACAAGCACAUGCACCUCGGGUGAAUGGCAAGCAGCCGUUAGAAGAAGCUCCAUGCAGCACGAAGGGCCAAUGGUAGCAGGCCAGUGGGUUAUGAUGAUGAAGAAGAGGAUGAGGAUGAGGGUGCUGGGUCUGUGGCAAUGCUGCUGGAGGCCUCAGCAAGGACGGGAUGAAAUGGAUGCCCGGAGCCAAAUCCCAGGUGCUUGAGGUUCUUCCAGAUAAGCAUUCAUUCUCUGGGACUGCACACAUCUAUCUGUUCCAUAUUUUAAAAUAUGAUUGUUUUUACUAAGGUUGUAUCUUCCUAAGCCACUAGAGACAGUUGAAAAGCAGAAAUUCUACAGUUUAUGUGUAAACCCUGGACACAGACAAUACAGGUCAACAGGGGGAAAGAAGGAGGCAUCUGUAAUACUUUUCAACAAUAAAGAUGAAAUUUUUUAAAACCAACAGCAAAACUUUAGUAUCUAAGUGAAAUAUGAAUGGUUAAGUUAUUUCAUAAAAUCAACAAAAUGGAAUCAACUAAAAAAAGUCAUUUACAAAAAUUAUAUGGUUGGUAUUUCCUUCCACUGAAUCAACCAGUUGUUUUGAUUUCAUGUAACGACAGCUGCAAUUUGAUUCGUAAUUCAAGAGCUCUGCCUUUCAAAAAUACUUCAGGGAGUGGUGGUUACGGAAAGGAAAGCGUGAGGCUGGUGUUUCAGAAGAGGAGCAGAUAAGAUUUGGUGACAACCUGGCAUCAUGUUCUAAAGGACAGAUAUGCCCAUGGAUUUGUACAGAUCACCGCUGAGCUCUUUUCUGAGCAUGUCGUGUGGGAGGGGAUGGAGCGUCUGAGUCGAACUGCCUUGAGGUUAGGACAUCUGUGUUCAGAGAGAGAACAGACAAGAGAAC